AGUUUCUCCCAUGACGAGUGGGGGGGGUGGUGGGCAUGGAUUUUAUUUCAGGCCAAAGGGCAGAGGGCGGGGAGCCCUUCCCUCUCCGGGCAGCACACGAGCGUAUCAGCCGUCAGAUUUUUCAUCCUAACAGAGGGGCAGGCGCAGGGGCCGGAAGACCUGUGGAGGGAGACCAGGGCGGAAGAGAAGAUGCCGGGCCUGAACCACAGAGGAGAAGGGCGCCCGUUGUUCAACUCCCAGUAAAGACACUCCUCCCUUCUUCUCAAGCUCUCUUUACUGGCCCUGUGUGUACCCCACCAGGAUGCAAAUCAUGGCCACACCUGGGCCAGUGCCCAGCUCUGGGAUGGCUGCAUCCUCGGAUGUGCGGGUCCAGAGAUCGAUCUCUGAGUUCACAGUGACCUCAGGCAGAGGUGGACCUGAUCCUGCCCCGGCCUGAAGCAGAAAAGGGGGACCACGCUCUCUGCUCACCACGUGGUCACAGGAAGGGGCUGAGCGCGCUGGGACAGCGACACAGGACAGCUCAUCCCCGGUGUCCUGGUGCAACAAUGGGGCGCUGUGGCCGCCGAAGGGUUAACCCCAGGUACUGUCGUUAAAGAAUCCAAUCUCAGACCCCCAGGUUUUGGAGGUAUUUCUCUGCGGAACAGAUCAGAUCCGAUCAGCAGACUGCCUUUUGCUGUUUCCUAGAGCUCAGUGGGGUUGGGUCGCCAUCAGGCCCCUGAACGCGGAGCUGAAAGGGACAGAGCCUUGGCAGGUUCCAACUGUGGUCCCCCAUCCCUGGGCCUGGCCCCAGAAGCUCACCUGUGCAGUCUUCUCUGGGACCAGCACAGGAAGACGGUGAGGACCGCCACCGUGACCACCAGCCGUGCUCCCACAGCCCCCACACUCCCGGACACCAGGCUCUUGCUGGUACUCAAGGCACAAGUCUCUCCCCAGUACCAGUGCGUGCCUGAGGCCGGGCAUCUGGGGACACACAUGAGAGCAAGCCAGUCCACUAGCGUCCCUUAUACCCAAAAGUCUCCCAAAAGAAAAAAAUGAAUGCCAAAGCAUAGGAAACUGGCUCUCCCUUCCAGGGCAGGCACCAGUUAGGAGGGACCCAGGCAGGGAGGCUCCCCAGCACUUAAGGGGCAGCGAGGGGUGGGGGUCCCCUUACUACAGAGCAGGCUUCAGAGUCAGCGUUGGAUGCCUCGUCCCAGACCCUCGAUGUCCACCCAUCUAAGCUCUGGCUAGCACCUCCUGAACUUCGUGCCCAGCUAUAGCUAGAGGUGCUAUGCCCUAGCACUGUGCUAGGGUAUCGAGAGGAAAAGGAAGCAGAGACAGAUCUACAGAUACAGAUCUGGAAACCGGGGAACUAGAACUGUCUCGGGAAGCGGCUCGCUCAGUCCUAGGAUGCCCACGUCUGUAAGCUGCACGUGCUUAUCGCGGUGGGGGCGGAGGGGUGAAGGGACGGCCAGGGGGGAGAAAGAGGGACAGUGGGGGAGGAAGCCUGACCCCCUCUGCCUCCCCCUCCUCACCCCUGCUCCACGACUGCGGUGGAGAGUGCCGCCCUACCACCGGAGAGGGUGGGGGCCUCCGAGGGGCUGGACACUCACAGGCAGCGGGGGCCACGCGGUGGCAGCUGGCAUUCACCCUCAUGACAGGUCCGUCGCACCUUCGUCCCUGCGGUGGCUCAGACCAGCUUCCCGUCCAGUUCGUCCACAUAGUAGAACUGGGCAUAAUCUCCUUCUGAGAGCCCUGCUCUGGGUUGUGGGGGAAGGGUGGGGAGCAAGCAUCGGGCUGGUUGAAGUGCCCCCAGCCCCCAUGCGACGCCCACACUCUGCCCCCCCAACGCCCAGCACUCCUCGGAGCCGCUUACCCUGCAGAUCAAAGCCCUGCCCUGUCUUGCUCAGGAUGGUGGUGGCCUCCUCGUCAUGGCACAGAGGUGACACCGAGCAUGGUAGAAAACACGAAACAGACACUGGCCUCUGCCCCGCCAGGGCUCGGCCCAUCCCUAGAUGCGGCUGGGUCUGUAAGCAGGCUUGGACCCGGGCUCUAGGGGAUCACUUGAGGCCGAGACUGGGAACAGCUGCUGCGCCCGCUGCAGGCUGGAGAAGGCACCCAGGCCUGGCUUCCGGAUCCCUACAGGGAGGCCUCUGGAGUUCCAGAAAAGGGGAGAGAUGGAGGGCAGGGAGAGGCUGAGACCUCCCUCUGGGACCCCUCCCAUCCUUUCCCCGCCACCAUCAAGGGGUCCUGGGGCGGGCCCGCCUCUGCCCGCUUCAGAAUCACCAGAGAGCCUUUUGGUCUCAUUCAUAAUCUUUUUUUUUUUUUUCUUAAGAUUUGAUUUAUUUAUUUGACAGACAGAAAUCACGAGUAGGCAGUGAGAGAGGAGGAAGCAGGCUCCCUGCUGAGCAGAGAGCCCGAUGCGGGGCUCGAUCCCAGGACCCUGGGAUCAUGACCUGAGCCGAAGGCAGCGGCUUAACCCACUGAGCCACCCAGGCGCCCUCAUUCAUAAUCUUGACCUUUAUGACUUUAGUGAGGCUAGAACGAGGACCCAGUGAUGCAUCAGUCACCCUGGGUCACCCACCCUCCCAGAAAGUGGGGCCCACAAAGCAAGAGGGGUGUGACCCGGAGCUGUGUGACCCAGAGGCAGGACAGACUCGAAACUCUUCCCUCCACCAGUUAACAUCCUAGAGGGAAGCUGCAGGGUCAAAUGAUCCGAACGUUCCAAAAUACCAGUGAUUGCAGUAAAUGCCACUGGGGGAAGUUCAUUUAUAAAAAUGGAAGUCUUCUGGGUGAAGACGUGGCAAGACUGAACCCUUGGGCGCUGUGGGAAUGGCAAAGGGCAGAGCCACCGUGGAAGACAGUACGCAGCUCCCCCCAAAAUUAAAGAUAGAAUUACCCUAUGACCCAGCAAUUCCACCUGUUGGAAUCCACCCAAAAGGACAGACAGCAGGGAUCUGGAGACAUCGCUGUACACCCAUGUUCCUUCAUGAUGCUUCGAGACCGCUAAAACGCGGAAGCAAAUGAUGUGAGUGUCCAUGGAUGGAUGAAUGGAUGCACCAAAUGUGGUACACGGUACAGUGCAACGCUAUUCCGUCUUACAAAAGCAGCAAAUUUUGACAUGUGCUACGAUGUGGAUGAACCUUGAGGACACCGUGCUAAGUGAAAUAAGCCAGUCACAAACGGACAAAUACUGUAUUGAGUAUUUACAUGAGUCCAAAUACACAGCGCACAGAGACACAAUGUGGAAUGGGAGUUGUCCAGGUGGGUUGAGGGGGGGGGACUUGAGAGCUAUUGUCUAAAGGGUACAGAGCUUCGGUUUGGGAAGAUGAGAAGGUUCUGGAGAUGGACUGUGACGGUGUGAUUGCAGAACAGUGGGAAUGUACUUAAUGCUACAGAACUGUACACUUAAAAUGAUUCAUCCAAUGGUUAAUGGCAAAUGUUACAGGUAUUUUACCACAAUAAAAAAUAUUUUAGGGGCGCCUGGGUGGCUCAGUGGGUUAAGCGUCUGCCUUGGGCUCAGGUCAUGGUCUUGGGGUCCUGGGAUCGAGUCCCUCAUCAGGCUCUCUGCUCAGCAGGAAGCCUGCUUCCCCCU